rnacentral:rRNA from 1 species
AGCAGCCGCGGUAAUUCCAGCUCCAAUAGCGUAUAUUAAAGUUGUUGCAGUUAAAAAGCUCGUAGUUGAAUUUCGGGGUCAGUAGAUUGGUCAUGCCUCCGGUAUGUACUGGUCUUACUGGCUCCUCCUUCCUGAUGAACCGUAAUGCCAUUAAUUUGGUGUUGCGGGGAGACUGGACUGUUACUUUGAAAAAUUAGAGUGUUUAAAGCAGGCUAACGCUUGAAUACAUUAGCAUGGAAUAAUGAAAUAGGACGUUCGAUCUUAUUUUGUUGGUUUCUAAGAUUGACGUAAUGAUUAAUAGGGAUAGUUGGGGGCAUUAGUAUUCAAUUGUCAGAGGUGAAAUUCUUGGAUUUAUUGAAGACUAACUACUGCGAAAGCAUUUGCCAAGGAUGUUUUCAUUAAUCAAGAACGAAAGUUAGGGGAUCGAAGACGAUCAGAUACCGUCGUAGUCUUAACCAUAAACUAUGCCGACUAGGGAUCGGAUGAUGUUAAUUUU